GGUUAGUUAGUUAAAGUUUAUAAUGUGGAUUUUGUAAGUCUAAGUUGGUUAUUGUUCACUAACCU
rnacentral:tRNA from 1 species